GAUGAAGAACGUAGUGAAACGCGAUAAGUAAUGUGAAUUGCAGAAUCCAGUGAAUCAUCGAAUCUUUGAACGCACAUUGCGCCCGCCAGCAUUCUGGCGGGCAUGCCUGUUCGAGCGCCAUUUCAACCCUCGACCUCCCCUUGGGGAGGUCGGCGUUGGGGACCGGCAGCACACCGCCGGCCCUGAAAUGGAGUGGCGGCCCGUCCGCGGCGACCUCUGCGCAGUAAUACAGCUCGCACCGGGACCCCGACGCGGCCACGCCGUAAAACACCCAACUUCUGAACGUUGACCUCGAAUCAGGUAGGACUACCCGCUGAACUUAAGCAUAUCAAUAAGCGGAGGA
rnacentral:misc_RNA from 1 species